UACGGAGGGUGCAAGCGUUAUCCGGAUUCACUGGGUUUAAAGGGAGCGCAGGCGGGCUGGUAAGUCAGUGGUGAAAGCCUUGAGCUUAACUCGAGAACUGCCAUUGAUACUAUCAGUCUUGAAUAUUGUUGAGGUUUGCGGAAUGGGUCAUGUAGCGGUGAAAUGCAUAGAUAUGACCCGGAACACCUAUUGCGAAGGCAGCAGGCUAAACAAAGAUUGACGCUGAGGCUCGAAAGCGUGGGGAUCAAAACAGG
rnacentral:rRNA from 1 species